rnacentral:rRNA from 1 species
UACAGAGGUCUCAAGCGUUGUUCGGAAUUAUUGGGCGUAAAGCGCGUGUAGGCGGCUUUGCAAGUCGGGUGUGAAAGCCCUCAGCUCAACUGAGGAAGUGCGCCCGAAACUGCAGAGCUUGAGUACCGGAGAGGAUGGCGGAAUUCCCGAAGUAGAGGUGAAAUUCGUAGAUAUCGGGAGGAACACCGGUGGCGAAGGCGGCCAUCUGGACGGAUACUGACGCUGAGACGCGAAAGCGUGGGGAGCAAACAGG